rnacentral:tRNA from 1 species
GGGCGUGUAGCUCAGUGGGAGAGCAUCCGCCUUACAAGCGGAGGGUCGGCAGUUCGAACCUGUCCACGCCCAC